rnacentral:rRNA from 1 species
AUCGAACGCUGGCGGCAGGCUUAACACAUGCAAGUCGGGCGGAGGGAUGGAGCUUCCUCCUCGAUUCAGCGGCGGACGGGUGAGUAAUGCCUAGGAAUCUGCCUGGUAGCCGGGGAUAACGUCCGGAAACGGCCGCUAAUACCCCAUACGUUCAGCGGGAGGAAGGGGGGGAUCUUCGGACUACGAGCUAUUCGCUGAGUCUCGGCUGGCUUAGCUUGUGGGUGGGGUGAAGGCCUAUCAAGGCGACGAUCCGUGACUGGUCUGAGAGGAUGAUCAGUCACACUGGAACUGAGAGACGGUCCGGACUCCUACGGGACGCAGCGGUGGAGAAGAUGGGACUAAGGGCGAAGGGCUGAUCCGACCAUGCCGCGUGGGUGAAGGGAGGCUUCGGAUUGUAGGGCUCUAUAAGUUGGGAGGAAGGGCAGAAUGUUAAUCCCUUGCUGUUUUGACGGUACCGAAAGAAUAAGCACCGGCUAACUUCGUG